rnacentral:sRNA from 1 species
AACUCCCUGGCUGCCGUGAAAAGACAAGGCACUGGGCAGUGAUGAGGGUCCUUCUCCAUCUCCCAGCCCUCCUGGCUUCCCUCAUCUUGCUUCAGGCUGCAGCAUCUACCACAAGAGGUGAGUGUCUCCCUUUACGGGUUUUCUGGGGCUGCUGUCACAAAGCACACCAACUGGAUGGCCUAAGACAACAGAAAUGUAUUCUCUCACAGUACGGGAGGAUAGAAGUCCAAAAUCAAGGUGUUGGCAGGGCUGUGCUCCCUCUGAAGGCUCUAGGGAAGAAUGCUUCCUUUCUUCUUCCAGCUUCUGGUGGCCCUGGUAUCCUUGGUGUACCCUGGCUUGCAGCUGCAACACUCCAAUCUCUGCCUCAGUCUUUGCAUGGCCUUUUUCUCUGUGUGUCCUCUCCUCUUCUCAUAAAACCACCAUUUAUUGGAUUUAGGGCUGAUGCUAAGGCAGUAUGACCUCAUUUUAAUUCAUAACAUCUACAAAGACCCUACUUCCAAAUAAGGUCACAUUCUGAGGUUCCAUGCAGAUGUGAAUUUUGGGAGGGCCAUUAUUUAACCCACUACACUCUCCUUGUUGAGAAAACAGAUCCUGUCCUCCAUCCUCCAGACCCCAAUACAAGAGGGAACAGGGAAUCCCACCAUUACUCUCAUGCCAUCCCCUUCUGUACGUCAGGGUCCUGGUGAUCAGUGGGUCCUCUUUGAUGAAUUUGAGAUAGUCCACAAGACCAUCUCACCAGGAACCAGAGAAAUCCCCACAGUCCAGUAGCCCAAGCCACCCUGAGUGGCCACACUCCCUCUUCAUCCCAUCUCUGGGCAUUCUAGUGAGAUCUCAAAGAGCAAUUUUGACAUCUUGUUGAAGAUCGAAGAGUAUUCUUCCCAUUCUGUGCUUUUUCCCCUUAAGGACUCUUAUGAAACUUUCCUAAUCUUGAUCUCCUGCCUACCCAGAUUUGAGGGGUGGGGGUAAUGGCUGAGAAAGAGGGAGACAAAAGCAGAAGACAUCGCAAAGGAGUGGUGUCUGACACCCUACUUCCUGCUCCCCACUCCAACCCCAAGCGCAGACUACCAGAACCUCUGCCAUCUCCGAUACUGUGAGUCAGGCCAAGGUCCAAGUCAACAAGGCCUUCCUGGACUCCCGAACCAGGCUGAAGACCGCCAUGAGCUCUGAGACUCCCACCAGCCGACAGCUCUCAGAAUACCUCAAGCAUGCCAAAGGCCGGACGCGCACAGCCAUCCGCAAUGGACAGGUGUGGGAGGAGUCUUUAAAGAGACUGAGGCAGAAGGCAUCCUUGACCAAUGUCACAGAUCCCAGCCUGGACUUGACUUCACUGUCUCUAGAGGUGGGCUGUGGUGCUCCUGCUCCCGUGGUGAGAUGUGACCCGUGCAGCCCUUACCGCACCAUUACGGGAGACUGCAAUAACAGGUGGCGGGGCUUGGGGUGUGGGGGCCGACCAUUCCAGCCACUCCGCCCCGCCCCGCCAAGGCCUUUGUCCCUUGGGCACUCUAGGCAGAUCUGCCACUGCCUUGCCCACCUGGGCUGGCGCUCCCACCUUCCCCACCUUCUCAAGAUCGCGCGUCUCCAGCCCUCUCCCUCCAGCCCACUGUGUGUCUCUGGAAGCGGCACCUUUCCCCGGGGCGGGGGAGCCCCGCGCCUUCAGGGGGUGGGCGCAGUUCAGAGACCCCACAUUUGAGAGGCCCCCUUCUCUGCGUCCCCUCCGCCUCGAGCAGAGGCUCCUUCCCCCAUGGGGUCCUGGGCUUUGGAGCCCCGGAGCCGGCCUGCCGAAGCUCAGCGAGGAUCGUGCUGGUUUCAGGAGGAAGCCUGCGCUGGGCGCCGCCAACAGGGCUCUGGCGCGCUGGCUGCCCGCGGAGUACGAGGACGGGCUCUCCCUGCCCUUCGGCUGGACGCCGGGGAAGACGCGCAACGGCUUCCCUCUCCCUCUGGCCCGGGAGGUAUCUAACAAGAUUGUUGGCUAUCUGAAUGAGGAGGGUGUUCUGGACCAAAACAGGUCCCUGCUCUUCAUGCAGUGGGGUCAGAUUGUGGAUCACGACCUGGACUUUGCCCCUGACACCGAGCUGGGGAGUAGCGAGUACUCCAAAGCCCAGUGUGAUGAGUACUGUAUCCAGGGAGACAACUGCUUCCCCAUCAUGGUACGGCCCUGCAGCUGGGCAUCUCUGCCUAGCCCCUUGCCCACCCUGAUGUAGCAGACAUUCCCAGCUCAUCAGCUAGGAUCUCUGGAUAGAUCUUGGAUACUGAUUUGGUAGUUUCCCAUGCCUCACGAGUCCAUUCGUUCACUCAUCCGUUUAUUCAGUAAAUAGACAUUGACCACCCCAUACCAGGCAGUGCACUAAGCGCUGAGGAUUCCAAAGUGAACAGGACACUGCUCCUGCUCUCAAGAACAAAGGGCCAGUGUGGGAAUUGGACAAGUAAACUACUGAUAGCAGAAUGGGAACACUGGAGAAGGUUGUCUACAUUCCCGGCCCAGCAGCAUUGGUAAAACCUGCUUAUUAGAAAUGUAAAAUCUCAGUUGGGCGAGGCGGCUCAUGCCUAUAAUCCCAGCACUUGGGGAGGCUGAGGUGGACAGAUCACCUGAGGUCAAGAGUUUGAGACCAGCCUGGCCAACAUGGUGAAACCCUGUCUCUACUAAAAAUACAAAAAUUAGCCUGGCGAGGUGGCACAUGCAUGUGGUCCCAGCUACUCAGGAGGUUGAGGCAGGAGAACCGCUUGAACCUGGGAGGCGGAGGUUGCAGUGAGCCGAGAUCACGCCACUGCACUCCAGCCUGGGCGACAGAGCGAGACUCCAACUCAAAAAAGAAAAAAGAAAAAGAAAAAAAAGAAAUGCAAAAUCUCAAGUCUCACCCAAGAUGUUAGGAAAUAGAUUCUACAUUUUUACCAAGAUCACCAGAGAUUCAUUUUAUACAUGAUAAAGUUUAUACUGCUGUACAUCAUCGUGGAGGAUGACUUCAAUUCCACUCAGAAGGACUUGAAACCUGGAUGAAUCCGAGUGAGCAGCAGGGAUUUGUAGGGAUUUCCAUCCGGAAGGGAGAGGAGCUUGCAGCAAUGCAUCUUUUCUUAUUAUUCAUGGGUAUUAUAGUUGGAGAGUCAUUUCUUCACUCAAAGAAUAAAUCGAGGCUAUGUGCUGUGGUAUAAAGAGCAUAAACUGUGGAAUGAAGCCAAUGAUCUGAAUCCUACAUCUUUCCCUUCCAGUGUAUAAGUUCUUAGGCAACUUACUUAACUUUUCUGAGCCCCAGUUUUCUCAUCUAUAAAAUGGAACUGAAUUGUCCACCUUACAGGGUUUUUUUGAGGACUGAGAUGAGUUAAAGUAUGCAUAAUUCCUGGCACAUGGUAAGUCCAAAAUAAAUACAUGGCAGCUGUU